rnacentral:rRNA from 1 species
GAUGAACGCUGGCGGCGUGCUUAACACAUGCAAGUCGAACGGAGAACGAAGGAGCUUGCUCCUUCCGGAUCAGUGGCGAACGGGUGAGUAACACGUGAGCAAUCUGCCCCGAACUCUGGGAUAAGCGCUGGAAACGGCGUCUAAUACCGGAUACGACGCGCGAAGGCAUCUUCUGCGCGUGGAAAGAAUUUCGGUUCGGGAUGAGCUCGCGGCCUAUCAGCUAGUUGGUGAGGUAACGGCUCACCAAGGCGACGACGGGUAGCCGGCCUGAGAGGGUGACCGGCCACACUGGGACUGAGACACGGCCCAGACUCCUACGGGAGGCAGCAGUGGGGAAUAUUGCACAAUGGGCGAAAGCCUGAUGCAGCAACGCCGCGUGAGGGACGACGGCCUUCGGGUUGUAAACCUCUUUUAGUAGGGAAGAAGCGAAAGUGACGGUACCUGCAGAAAAAGCACCGGCUAACUACGUGCCAGCCGCCGCCGUAACAC